AUGCAGGCACCCUCCCACGCACCUGCAAGCAUGAAUGAAGGACGUGUUUUGAGGUCUAGUGUAACACAAGAUCAUGAUCAUGUAGAUCACGCGCAUCAGUCUUCCAAAGAAGCAAACAUAAGGACUGGACUCACAAUGAACCAUGAAGCCGGCGAUCCGUGUCAACUGGAUGCUUUAGCUUUCAUUUUGUACAACCGAUGUCUCAUAUUUGCGUCUUUUUGCUGUCAUUCUGUAAACCUGAUGUAUGGUGUCUUGUCUUGGUGCUUAGAACAGACUGAUGUGUAUGUAUGUGACAAUUAG
rnacentral:rRNA from 1 species